CCAGCCGGCCGGACGGCCGCUCCGGUUCACGCCGGGGAGGAAAGUCCGGGCUCCACGGAAGCACGGCGCCGGAUAACGUCCGGCGGGGGCGACCCCAGGGAAAGUGCCACAGAAAGCAAACCGCCGGCGGCCUCGGCCGCAGGCAAGGGUGAAAGGGUGCGGUAAGAGCGCACCGCGCGACCGGUAACGGGAGCGGCAUGGCAAACCCCGCCGGGAGCAAGACCGAAUAGGGGCGACACGCGACAGCGCUUCGGCGCGGCCGCAACCUGCUUCCGGGCCGUCGCCCGGGUUGGUCGCUAGAGGCGUCCGGCGACGGACGUCCGAGAGGAAUGGUCGUCACGCGCGCGUUGCGGGGAAACUCGUCCGCGCGCCAUACAGAACCCGGCUUACAGGCCGGCUGGCGUU
rnacentral:RNase_P_RNA from 1 species